CCCUGCGUGCUCCUCGCCGCCCCGCCCCGCGUGCUCCUUGCCGCUCCGCUCCGUCCCGACCGGUUCCUUGUUGCUCCUCCAUCUUCCCCUUUCUUCUAUCUUUUCUUUCCUCCACACCCUGUUCCCCGCCCUGCUCGGCCGCUGUCGCCCGGCUACUCUCACUGCGGGUGCCACUCGAUCCCCGUCGUGGGUACGCGGAAGCCGCAACCCCUGCUCACGUUCUCGCUUGCCGUCCUGGGACUGCGUGGAGCGGUGGAGGCUGCGCAUCCUGAUUGCAUGCCUGCCUGCUGUCCCCGGAAUCAAAAGCGCGCCGCCACAUCGACAAACAUCUGGACCAACCAUCCCGCUCUACGCUGCUGUGAUUUUCCAUCAUAGCACAUCGCUAGCUCUUCGGUUCUGUUGAUCUAAUCACGCUUUUUAGGUCUCCAAGAGGAAAUACGAUUCAUCUCUGAACAUUUUUUAGAAAGAAGUCCGAGGCCCCGCGUUAAAUUAAUGACGCCAUUCACUUCUGAACAUAUGAGCAAUUUGUACUUCUUAGUGCUCACUUCAAACAAUUACUCCUUGCAAUUCAGAUUAGACUUACAAGUCUGUGUGUACAGACAUAAUAAAAAUAAGAUGGGCAAUUCAGAUCAGACUUGAAUACAAGAAAUUAUUUCACUUUGAAACUAUAUACACAUGAUUCAGUGCACACUUGAAUAUGGAAAUUUAUAUUCAGCUUGAGAUGCUAUUUAUUCUAGGUUUUAGGGUAUCCCUUUACCACCUUGAUCGCUGAAAGAAACCUAACUUGUUGGAACAGAUACUGAUUUCGGAAUUGUAGCAUUAGUUUACUUGUAUCCCUUUACCUCCUUGAUCGAGUUACAUUGCAGAAUUGAGCUUCGGCUGUUCUGA